rnacentral:misc_RNA from 1 species
GAAAUGCGAUAAGUAAUGUGAAUUGCAGAAUUCAGUGAAUCAUCGAAUCUUUGAACGCACAUUGCGCCCUCUGGUAUUCCGGAGGGCAUGCCUGUUCGAGCGUCAUUUCAACCCUCAAGCCUGGCUUGGUGUUGGGGCACUGCGUCUCUCGCGGGAUGCAGGCCCUGAAAUUCAUUGGCGAGCUCGCCAGGACCCCGAGCGCAGUAGUUAAACCCUCGCUCUGGAAGGCCCUGGCGGUGCCCUGCCGUUAAACCCCCAACUUCUGAAAAUUUGACCUCGGAUCAGGUAGGAAUACCCGCUGAACUUAA